AGGUUAGCUCAGUGGUUAGAGCGUAGGUCUCUCAAACGAAAGGUCGCGGGAUCGAGUCCCGCUGGAGGUUG
rnacentral:tRNA from 1 species